AUAAUCCUUUUCCCUUAAGUUUUUUGAUCUGAUUGUGAAUUUAGUGCAAGAUUUUGGGUUAUGUUUUACAUUCUGUUGAUGAAAAGGGAAAAAAGUUUGGAUAACUAUUAACUAGUUAAAGAGGUGGAAUAAGGUUUUUCUUACAUUGAAAAUUUGAGUGACAACUUGCAUUUUGGCCAUUUACAAGCAAGCACAAAAGCACAAGGGCGAAUCUUUACUACAUUUCGAUAUUCAAGGAUGGAAACAGGUCAGGCGACCUAUUAAGGGCCUGUGGCUUGCUAAAAUAUAGAAGCAGGCGCAGGCUUUUUGAAAAGCCUGUUUAUCUUAGCAACCUAGGCCUAGGUUUGCGGAAAAGCGAGUAGGCUUGCUGGCUGUCCUGGGCUUGUUUAGAUUUAGAAAUGUAUAUAAAUGUAAUGUAAUUUAAUCUACUAAACGCUUGUUCGACUUAUCUAGCCUAUUUUAGGCAUUAUGCAUACAUUUAGCCCAUUUGAGCUUUAGUCUUGCAUUGUGUGCAUUAAAAAAAAUCCUCGCCACGAAGCCUUUACCCUCCUUAAUGGGACUUCAAGUAAAUUUGGGCAGGAUUAAUUCUUAGUAGUAGAACUUGGAUGCCAAUGAUUCAAUUGAGAGAAAAAUAAUAAAUAUACUUUUUUAUUGUUAGUCAAUAUGUUUUUCUAAAUGAGAGAUUUAUCUAAGCAUUAUGACUUCUGUAUGUGUUUCCUUUUCUGAUGAGAGAUUUUUCAUGUUGUCUGUUGUUGAAGAAUGAAUUUAAAUAAGUCGUUGUAUAUUGUUUCUUGCAUC